UACGUAGGCAGCGAGCGUUGUUCGGAGUUACUGGGCGUAAAGGGUGUGUAGGCGGUCGUUUAAGUUUGGUGUGAAAUCUCCCGGCUCAACUGGGAGGGUGCGCCGAAUACUGAAUGACUAGAGUGUGGGAGAGGUGAGUGGAAUUCCCGGUGUAGUGGUGAAAUGCGUAGAUAUCGGGAGGAACACCAGUGGCGAAGGCGACUACCUGGCCUGUUCUUGACGCUGAGGCGCGAAAGCUAGGGGAGCAAACGGG
rnacentral:rRNA from 1 species